ACGUGCUUGCACUGAAUGAGAUUUUAACACGAGUGAGUGGCGGACGGGUGAGUAACACGUGGGUAACCUGCCCAGAAGCGGGGAUAACACCUGGAAACAGAUGCUAAUACCGUAAACAAAAAACCGCCGGUUUUCUUUUAAAAGAUGGCUUGCUAUCACUUCUGGAUGGACCCGCGGCGCAUUAGCUAGUUGGUGAGGUAACGGCUCACCAAGGCGAUGAUGCGUAGCCGACCUGAGAGGGUAAUCGGCCACAUUGGGACUGAGACACGGCCCAGACUCCUACGGGAGGCAGCAGUAGGGAAUCUUCCACAAUGGACGCAAGUCUGAUGGAGCAACGCCGCGUGAGUGAAGAAGGGUUUCGGCUCGUAAAGCUCUGUUGUUAAAGAA
rnacentral:rRNA from 1 species